ensembl:lncRNA
GCCAGAUCACACACACAGGGUUGCUAUUCAGAGCACAGACUCAGAGCCAGGCUGCCUGGCUUCAAAUCCCAGCUCUGUCAUUCAUUAGCUGUGUGAUCUUGGGCAGGACGUUUAACCUCCCUGUGAUGUGAGCACAAUAGUAGCCCCUCCCUCAUAGGGCAGCUGUGAGGAUGCAGUGAGCUAAUACAUAUGCCCAGCAGAGGGCAAGAGUGAAGGGUGUCAGCUCCCCCACCACAAUGACCCGCCUGGCACUCUACCCCUGGUGCCAGCAGUGUCUCUUCUCUCUCCUCCAGGUCACGGAGUGUAGGGAAAGGACAAGCGCCCAAGCUCUCUGGCUCCUUUCGAAGACUCUCCAGGUGGAGCGAGAGUCUGACCCAGCCCUGCUCUAUGAUGCCCUGGGGUCCCCCCAGCUGCCCACCCUGCUGGCAGAGCCGCAGUCACUGGAGAAAGCAGCUGUCAUCAUCUCAGAAUUUCUGACAGCAGAUAAAGCGUGGCCAAUGCUGUGUAUCAGAAAAUAGUGAUUCAUUUUCGCAACUAUAUUUGAUCCCUUAAACAGCCUCCUGAGAGGCUAUUUUGCUUAGAAAAUUCUGAAGACAGCUGAAGAGAGAACAGGAAGUACAGAAAAAGGGGAAUGCCCUGCUGGAUAUUUCAGAAUGUUGACUCCGCUCCAGUGAAUCUGAUUCUGGCUGCAGCUUUUAUUAGUAAGAGAGUCAUUUCUUCCCACCCCACUCCCAUGAAAUGAAUGUCAAACAUUUAAAGAAUCUCAAGUUAAAAGGAUACAAAUUAUUAGCCUCCCUCCCCUUGGACCCACACACAUCUCAUCCUUCCAUCAGAACAACAGGUUUUAUGUCAAAAACCAUGGUAUGGUUUUAAGAGGUGUGUGGCUUACGUCAGUUCCCCAGAAGAUGCCCCUGAGACGAAGAUCAGUGGGCAAUGAUUAUUAAAGGAAGGGCUCCCAGGGGGAACAAGCAAAGGAGAGGAGAAAUGGGACAAGGAAGGAGGAGGAGUCAAACACUGGAGAGACUCAGGGGAAGUCACCCAGACCCCACCAUAGGCCACUCCCGAAGGCGCCCUAGGGUGUGAGUCCAGCUCAGAGUCAGGACUCCAGGCACAGGUGGCCUGUCCUAUUCCCACAGUCAGGCUUUUCCUGGGGGCUAUAGGUGGCCUGGAAGCAAGGGAAGUGCUCAGCCUCCAGCUCUGUGCUGGCAGGCAGAGCAGCGCCAGGACCCUGGAAGCAGCCCUCUGAAGAGGAGCUGUGCCCUGUAGGCGCUGCUUCUAGAGCGACUGAAGACAGGGAGUCCAGGAUGGGUGGAGGCACCAGAGGGUGUCUGGUGAGCCCAGCACUGCUCACAACUGGAACUCAUCAAUGUAGUUUACACCCUUGCUGCAAAGGAGAAGUUUCACUGAGAUCAGAAGACAAGUGAACUGGGCCUGCUCCCCAUUGCUGCACUGAAGCCACUGGUCAGUAGGAGACUGAUAAAGAAGAAGGCAGCCCCAGUAUCAGACCCAUCCCCAAAGUCCCCGGCCAGACAAUCCCAGGAGGGAAAAGUCUUCUGGUCUAGUGCGCCAGAGUUUAAGACCCCUGGGCAGGACACCGCGCUGAUGCUCCCUCAAAUCCACCUUGUUGACAGCAUAGCUCCACCUCCAGCCUUGUUCAGGAGUCUCUCCUUGGCCAAGCAGCUUGGUGUGGAGGAAAGGGUAGAGGUCUUGGCAUCACACUUGCAUUAAACAUUUAAUCUCUCGAAGCUGCAUUUCUCUAGUGAGCGAAAUAGAGAUCAUCUCCCUGCUUGGCAGGGAGGUGGUAACAAGUGGAGAGAACACACGUAAAGCAUCUAGCCCAGUGGAAACACCGCGAUGCCUUUUAGUCUUUACCCUCAUUCUCUUGUCCUGAGAGAGAAGCAGCAGCCAGGCCUGGAACACUGGAUCUCUGAUGUAUAGAACACACCUGCCCCUCCAGGAGACGUUCUUCUGGAUCCUAGCACAGAGCUGCUGCGUACUGGUCUUCAUGCUCGGACCCCUGCCACCUGCCUCCAGGCUUCCCUGUAAGGCCCAGACCUCCGCGGGCUCCUCCCUCAAAGACCCUCUAGCCACCCUCACACUCGGUUGCCUUCAGCUAGCACUGACCCACCAGGCCUUGCAAGUCCCUCCAGUUCCUUGGUUCUGCUCCCUCUCAUCAGUACCAUUCUGUUGCUUGCGCAGCAUGGAGAUGCCUCUCAAUUUGUAGCCAAAGAAUAAUAAAAACUCUCUACGUGGAAAAGAAAUUUAGAAUGCCCCGGGCUCACGGAGCUGGAAAGGACUUUGGCCAGGCAAAGCCAUUUUUAACAGAGUUAAUGGCAGGACUAGGGGAAGCCAGGCUGCAGAAACGAAGAAGCCCAAGAUACCAGGAACUUAACACAGAGAACAUUGAUCUCCUGCUCCCUCAGAGGCCGCCGCUCAUCCGGAUGGUUCUGCCAGGCGCUGUCCUUCAUGCAGUGACCCAACCAUUCAGGGGAGCAUUUCAGAGGCUCUGCCAUCUCCACCUGUGGCCUCCCCUGCAGGUGACGUGGCUGGUGAAACAGAGAGUCAAGCAGGGCUCAACCACCUGGGAUAAUGUCCACCCACAUCACGUGUCCUCCCC